rnacentral:misc_RNA from 1 species
GGGACAGGAAAUUCAUUUGUAAUAAAAGAAACUGAGAUACUUUGUUCCAGAGGCGCUCAAACUCUCUGGUCUGACCGGAUUUCUGGAAAAGUUACUGUUUUGGCUGGAAAUGCCAACUUUUGGGCUGUGGGAUGUGAAGACGGCUGCAUUCAGAUUUAUACAAAAUGUGGCCGACGUGCCAUGCCGACCAUGAUGAUGGGAUCUGCUGC